CCUCAGUUAUCAUGACACUGAGUUUACCACAUUUUUCUAGGCUCUAUUGUUGACUUUAUGUAGAUGUUUUGUGCACAGUUAUGGAACAAGUUCUGUCUUUUUUAAACAGGUUAGUUGUGGGUGAGUUGUGUGUUUCAGUCCAUCUGCACAUGCAUCCUGGCCGAACUCCAGCUAGUCUGUCGCCGUAACAACGCUUUGUUUACAAGGGAUUCUGCUGUAGGAGCGAAGUUAAACCCAAACGAUUCUUUCUCAGAUAUUAUCCACCAGGUAUCAUCCUGGAAUAUGAAAAAGGAGGAGCUUUGAAGACUAAAUUCAUUGAUUUGUUGGAUUUGUCUCCAGUGUAGGUAAGUUGAGAACAAGUUCUCAUUUACAAUUGCGACCUGGCCAAGAUAAAGGAAAGAAUGAAUGGGGCCAUGUAUCGUGAGAUUUUGAGUGAAAACCUCCUUCCAUCAGCAAGGGCAUUGAAGAUGAAACGUGGCUGGGUCUUUCGGCAUGACAAUGAUCCCAAACACACUGCCCGGGCAACGAAGGAGUGGCUUCGUAAGAAGCAUUUCAAGGUCCUGGAGUGGCCUAGCCAGUCUCCAGAUCUCAACCCCAUAGAAAUUCUGGGCCAAAAUAGCAGCAACAGUGUGUGAAAACCUUGUGAAGACUUACAGAAAACGUUUGACCUCUGUCAUUGCCAACAAAGGGUAUUUAACAAAGUAUUGAGAUAAACUUUUGUUAUUGACCAAAUACUUAUUUUCCACCAUAAUUUGCAAAUAAAUUCAUUAAAAAUCUUACAAUGUGA